rnacentral:rRNA from 1 species
AUGAACGCUGGCGGCGUGCUUCACACAUGCCAGUCGCACGAUGAAGCCCAGCUUGCUGGGUGGAUUAGUGGCGAACGGGUGAGUAACACGUGAGUAACCUGCCCUUAACUCUGGGAUAAGCCUGGGAAACUGGGUCUAAUACCGGAUAGGAGCGUCCACCGCAUGGUGGGUGUUGGAAAGAUUUAUCGGUUUUGGAUGGACUCGCGGCCUAUCAGCUUGUUGGUGAGGUAAUGGCUCACCAAGGCGACGACGGGUAGCCGGCCUGAGAGGGUGACCGGCCACACUGGGACUGAGACACGGCCCAGACUCCUACGGGAGGCAGCAGUGGGGAAUAUUGCACAAUGGGCGCAAGCCUGAUGCAGCGACGCCGCGUGAGGGAUGACGGCCUUCGGGUUGUAAACCUCUUUCAGUAGGGAAGAAGCGAAAGUGACGGUACCUGCAGAAGAAGCACCGGCUAACUACGUG